rnacentral:rRNA from 1 species
GACGAACGCUGGCGGCGUGCCUAAUACAUGCAAGUAGAACGCUGAAGGAGGAGCUUGCUCUUCUGGAUGAGUUGCGAACGGGUGAGUAACGCGUAGGUAACCUGCCUGGUAGCGGGGGAUAACUAUUGGAAACGAUAGCUAAUACCGCAUAACAGUAGAUGUUGCAUGACAUUUACUUAAAAGGUGCAAUUGCAUCACUACCAGAUGGACCUGCGUUGUAUUAGCUAGUUGGUGGGGUAACGGCUCACCAAGGCGACGAUACAUAGCCGACCUGAGAGGGUGGUCGGCCACACUGGGACUGAGACACGGCCCAGACUCCUACGGGAGGCAGCAGUAGGGAAUCUUCGGCAAUGGACGGAAGUCUGACCGAGCAACGCCGCGUGAGUGAAGAAGGUUGUCGGAUCGUAAAGCUCUGUUGUAAGAGAAGAACGAGUGUGAGAGUGGAAAGUUCACACUGUGACGGUAUCUUACCAGAAAGGGACGGCUAACUACGUG